rnacentral:rRNA from 1 species
AUUGAACGCUGGCGGCAUGCUUUACACAUGCAAGUCGAACGGCAGCACGAGCUAGCGUGCUGGGGCGAGGGGGAGAGGCGAGCGGGAUAGAAAUACAUGGGCACGGGCGUUGUAGAGGGGGAUGACUAGGCGGAAGAUAUGCCACAACCGCACUGGACGUGAGGGCGAGGGAGGGGGGCCGCACGGGCUCAUGGUACAGGCGCUGCCGAUGUCUGAUUAGCUAGUUGGUGAGGUAAAGGCACACCAAGGCGACGAUCAGUAGCUGGUCUGAGAGGACGAUCAGCCACACUGGGACUGAGACACGGCCCAGACUCCUACGGGAGGCAGCAGUGGGGAAUUUUGGACAAUGGGCGAAAGCCUGAUCCAGCAAUGCCGCGUGUGUGAAGAAGGCCUUCGGGUUGUAAAGCACUUUUGUCCGGAAAGAAAAGGAUCUGGUUAAUACCUGGGGUCGAUGACGGUACCGGAAGAAUAAGCACCGGCUAACUACGUG